UAUCAACUGUUUAAAGAUGGUUCUGCUACACUCUUGGGAUGGGACCCUGCGGUGCAUUAGCUAGUUGGUAGGGUAACGGGCCUACCAAGGCGAUGAUGCAUAGCCCCGAGUUGAGAGACUGAUCGGGCCACAUUGGGGACUGAGACACGGGCCCAAAACUCCUACGGGGAGGCAGCAGUAGGGAAUCUUCCACAAUGGACGCAAGUCUGAUGGAGCAACGCCGCGUGAGUGAAGAGGGGUUUCGGCUCGUAAAAGCUCUGUUGUUGGUGAAGAAGGACAGGGGUAGUAACUGACCUUUGUUUGACGGUAAUCAAUUAGAAGUCACGGCUAACUACGUGCCAGCAGCCGCGGUAAU
rnacentral:rRNA from 1 species